UUGAUUCUACGAAAGGUCGGACAUGCGCAAGUCCCUCUUAUUCUAGCUGUGCCUGGAAAUCUAGGCAUUCUAGCUUUUGCAUUCAAUGUAAGGUGACAUAUAUUGAGACGUGAAAGUUUUGAAGAAUUAAUACAGUGAUAAAUCACUCAAUUUGUAUUAGUUUAUUAUGAAAGUUACGAAUCAUUAAUAAAGAUGAUUAAAACAAACGACGAAAAAAAUAAGGAGGUCGCAAGAGGAGCUGGAUUUUACACCCAAAGGACGGAUAGCAACGUGCUCUGCGAAAGCUUGAUGUCUAAACUCACUGAGAAAAACGAUGAUGACUCAAAGAAUGACGUAAAAUCUGC